GACAGAGGGUGCAAACGUUGUUCGGAAUUACUGGGCGUAAAGCGCGUGUAGGCGGCGGUGCAAGUCGGGUGUGAAAGCCCUGGGCUCAACCCAGGAAGUGCAUUCGAUACUGCGCCGCUAGAGUCCCGGAGAGGAUGGUGGAACUCUCGGUGUAGAGGUGAAAUUCGUAGAUAUCGAGAAGAACACCGGUGGCGAAGGCGGCCAUCUGGACGGUGACUGACGCUGAGACGCGAAAGCGUGGGGAGCAAACAGG
rnacentral:rRNA from 1 species